GAACAUCAUUUAGUCAAUAGGCGAUCAAUAAGGUCCAUGGCCUAGGGAAGUGACCUUCAUUGCACUUAGGAAGGGUGCUCUCCCAUGGUCUACCCAAGUGGUGGAGCCUACGUCAUAAUUUGUGGUAGUGGGGGUUUGCGUUCGCGCAACCCCUCU